rnacentral:rRNA from 1 species
UACGAAGGGGGCUAGCGUUGUUCGGAUUUACUGGGCGUAAAGCGCACGUAGGCGGAUCGUUAAGUCGGGGGUGAAAGCCUGGAGCUCAACUCCAGAAUUGCCUUUAAGACUGCAUCGCUUGAAUCCAGGAGAGGUGAGUGGAAUUCCGAGUGUAGAGGUGAAAUUCGUAGAUAUUCGGAAGAACACCAGUGGCGAAGGCGGCUCACUGGACUGGUAUUGACGCUGAGGUGCGAAAGCGUGGGGAGCAAACAGG